UACGUAGGGGGCAAGCGUUGUCCGGAUUUAUUGGGCGUAAAGAGCGUGUAGGCGGCUUGGUAGGUCUUGCGUCAAAACCUGAGGCUCAACCUCAGUUCGCGUGGGAAACCAUCUAGCUAGAGUCCGGAAGAGGAGAACGGAAUUCCCAGUGUAGCGGUGAAAUGCGCAGAUAUCAGGAAGAACACCCGUGGCGAAGGCGGCUCUCUGGGACGGUACUGACGCUGAGACGCGAAAGCGUGGGGAGCGAACAGG
rnacentral:rRNA from 1 species